GUUGGUUUUUAAUGUCAUUUCCUCAUCGGGUAAAUGUGAGAAAGCUGCAAAUUUCAAGUCUAAAUCAAGCAAAGGAAGAACGGAACGGUAAAGCUGGCUUUAAUGAAAACAUUUGAUUUACAUUUAGUUGUGUCUACUAUCUUCUAAUUGUUAAGUCAAAUGAAUCUUGGAGGUUUUAGAUUUUUUAUUUUUUUUGCCUAAAUGUGUGUUAGUGAAAGAUAAACUUACACCAGUAAGUCGUCUUAGCUUUUUAUUCAUUUUUGUCAAACCUCCAGGAGUUGAAUAAACAAGAGUUUUUAGUUUAGCACUUAAAACAUUAAAAGAAGAAAAAGGCAGGAAUGUUUCCAGUGUGCUUUGUGAGAAGGAAGUGUGUUACAUUGAUCUGACUCUUGUGUGUUACUAAGGCAAAUGUUCAUUUUAAUGUAACCAUCUUUUUGCAAAGCUUGAGGAUAAAGUCAUGUCACGCUAAAUGUAUUUGAACAGAAUUCAUUCUGAUGUUGCAUAAAAUUAAUUGCCAGAUCCAAAUUUGUGCUUACUGAUGUUGAAGCAAUAAUUUAAAUGAUUCUAAUGUAAAAUAAAUAGUUAUUUUAACUUGUGAUGUGAGUAAAAAAAACACAGGAAUGUGCUCUCCUUUAACAAGGUGAGGGCAGUUUUUUUUUGUUUUUUUUGUUUAUUGUAAAAUAAAUACUUGGUUUAAAUUCUAGUAUUAAGUUAAAAGUCACAUUUCAAGAUUAAUGAGCUAUCGGAACUAAAAAAACAAACAAACAGUGUUUAGACAACUUGUCUCUUUAAUUUCUGAGUUAAACCCAAAACAAUCUUGUUGACUUUAAUUGCAUUUUCAAGGCAGCAGGCGAAUUUUCAUUCUCAAGUUAAGCCACCUUCAAAUGUUUUUAUUUAUUUAUUUUUUAUAUUUUUUGUAGGGCUUUAUUAACUCUAGUGUCCUUUAUUUGAGAGUAAUUAUACAGGAAAGUGGGUAGUGAGAGAGGAGGAAGACAUGCGGCAAAUGUCACUCGAAUCUGUGAUGUUCACUUUGAAGACUAAGGCCUCCAAAUUUCAACACCUUGCCCAAGAUCAUUUUGAAGCAGGAGGACAGAAUGAUGAACGCAGAGCAGAACCAGGAAUAAUCAACCCCUGUGUACGCUAGUGUUUAAACUGUAACAGGAUUUUGGCAAAUCUUUUUUUUUUUUUUUUUUUUUUUUGUCGUUUCUUCUUUUGCUUCAAAGAAAAAAAUAAUAGGAAAGUUUGUUUGAAAGCACACAAUGAUUCCAAUUUGCAGCACAUUAUAACAUGUAGUUUCUGCAUACUGCCUUUUCAUUUGGUAAACAUAGGCCGCUGAUUCUAGUAAUGUGUUAUCAAAGCUUUUGUUCAUGUGCUGCAGCAGAAACAAUUUUAGGGUUGCCUAAAGUUUUGCUCAACCUUUCCAAAAAAAAAAAAAAAAAGAAGUUUUAGCUUCUUCAAAGUGCACAAUAUGUAUAGAGAAGCUUCAUUUUGGAUGUGGGAUAUUUUAUGUUUUGAAAGGUAAGAAGGGAUAGAAGUCUUUUGCAAGAUAAAAUGUAAAAAAACACACAAAAAAACCUCUGUAACUAUUAAAACCUUCUUAAACCUAAAA